GACGUAGGGCGCGAGCGUUGUCCGGAUUUAUUGGGCGUAAAGAGCUCGUAGGCAGCUUGUCGCGUCGACUGUGAAAACUCGGGGCUCAACCCCGAGCCUGCUUCCGAUACGGGCAGACUAGAGGUAUGCAGGGGAGAAUGGAAUUCCUGGUGUAGCGGUGAAAUGCGCAGAUAUCAGGAGGAACACCAAUAGCGAAGGCAGCUCGCUGGGACGGUACUGACGCUAAGGCGCGAAAGCGUGGGGAGCGAACAGG
rnacentral:rRNA from 1 species